AUCCGAUACACCAGCCAACACACUGAUGCGCUUGGUGACUCUUCCCACCAUCACGUUAUUUUUUUUUUUUUAUUUAUUUAUUUAUUUACUUUUUUUUUCAUUUUCUUUGCCCAUCCAGACAAAUGGACCAUGAGACCCACACUGCUCCUCGGUAUAUCUCAUACACUGCUUAAGCGGGUAAAUGAGACUCCGCUGAGUGGGGAGUCACUGCCAUCCAUCACUUGGGUCAUACAAAUGAGAAAAAACAGCUGUGGGCCGGUUCUAUUCAUCAAGGCCCACGUUACCUUGACUUUUCAAGGUGACAGUCAACACGCACACACUCCCAAGAGAGAAUUGUAAUAGACAGCCCGUCUACUUUUAUCAACUACUGUACUUCCUUUCCCUGCUUUCCCCUCCGUUCUUCUCUUACCACCCACCUUUUCUAUCCCCCCCCCUCCCAAUUCAUUCAAGAGAGAAGAAAGCGCCCGUUCCCUGCAUCCGCCACACUGCGACGCUAAACCGAGAGAGAGACCAGAGAGAUAGAGAAGAGGACACCAGAGAGAGAGAGAGAGAGAGAGAGAGAGACGCCAGACCAAGAGAAGAAGUGCUACGACACGUCGUUGCAGCCUGCCGCUGCAACGACGUGAUUGCGCCCCGAGGCAUGGUGUGAGAGGAGAUGCAGCCCUAACUGGAGAGGAGCACAAGGCGUAGCCAGGCAUUAACAACCCACACCCAGGUUUUGCUGGCCCUGAGGUUGUUUGCCAGUGGGUCCUCCCAAAGCGUCAUUGGAGACACUGCAGGACCAACGCAAGCAAACGUCAGCAGGGUCUUCGAGCGUGUGUGCACUGUGAUGAGUGAUAAGUUGGUGUAGGAAAUCAAGAUGCCUCCAACACAUCUUGAUCAAAGAAGAAGCAGUUCUUCAGGAUCAAAAAUUUUCCAAGGGUUAUUGGGGCUAUUGAUAGCACCCACAUUGCCAUCAAGGCCCCAGGUAUGGACAAGCCCCUCUAAUUUAACCAGAAAAGGUAUCACUCCCUGAACAUCAAACUUGUUUGUGAUGUGAAUGGAGUGAUCCUCAGCUACUGCUCCAGAUUCCCAGGUGCUACACAUGAUGCUUUUGUGUGGAGCAACUGUAAUCUGAAGCAGCGGUUUGAGGGAGAGGAAAUUGGUGAUUUCCUGCUCGUUGGUGAUGUGGGUAUUCACGAGAGCCCUACCUUAUGGUGCCAAUGAGAAAUCCCACAACAGCAGCAGAGCAGCAAUACAACAGGGGCCAUGCUCAAAUGAGGGUCAUUGUGAAACAGAUAAUUGGGAUUCUUAAAAGUUGCUUCCAGUGGCACCCUACAAUAUAGGCCUAUCAAAUGUGUUAAUUAUCAAUGCUUGCCUACUUCUGCACAGUCGCUGCAUCAAAUGUGGCAUUCCCAUUCCUGCUGAUUUACAGCUACCACCUCCUGAGAAUGAGGAGAUACCACACACUGACGCCAACCCUGUUGCUGUGCAGCAGAGAUCAUCGUAUUCCAGGAAGAGUUGUGCAGCAGGAGGUCAUACAAAACUUUUACUAGCAAUGAAGCAUGAGAGACAGAUUGCUGAUGUGAGUGAGGCAGCAAUCUGCUGAAGAGCCUGCUGCUGUGAUGCAGCAAUCUGCUGCAAAGCCUGCACUCUCAGCCUUAGAGCUUCCCCUUGUUCCUGCUGCACCAUAGCCAGUGGCAUGUCCAGGC